rnacentral:rRNA from 1 species
GAUGAACGCUGGCGGCGUGCCUAACACAUGCAAGUCGAACGAAGCACUUUAGCUUGAUUCUUCGGAUGAAGGCUAAUGUGACUGAGUGGCGGACGGGUGAGUAACGCGUGGGUAACCUGCCUCAUACAGGGGGAUAACAGUUAGAAAUGACUGCUAAUACCGCAUAAGAUCACGGAGUCGCAUGACUCAGUGGGAAAAACUCCGGUGGUAUGAGAUGGACCCGCGUCUGAUUAGGUAGUUGGUGGGGUAACGGCCUACCAAGCCGACGAUCAGUAGCCGACCUGAGAGGGUGACCGGCCACAUUGGAACUGAGACACGGUCCAAACUCCUACGGGAGGCAGCAGUGGGGAAUAUUGCACAAUGGGCGAAAGCCUGAUGCAGCAACGCCGCGUGAGCGAUGAAGGCCUUCGGGUCGUAAAGCUCUGUCCUCAAGGAAGAAACAAAUGACGGUACCCUUGGAGGAAGCCCCGGCUAACUACGUGCCAGCAGCCGCCGAAA